GAAAGAGAGAAAAAGAAAGCUCAGAUGCAAGUUUUCUUUUUUUUUUGCUCAUGAAAAGCAAAGCGUGGAAUACAACAAAUUAAAUAGCCACCCGGUGAGAAAAAAGGGAGUGGAGUGAAAAAUGGGCAGGGGGGGAUAAAACCCAGAUGAAAAAGGCAGGCUGGUGCUGGAGGAUGCCAGACAGGUCUGGGAAUAGAGGCAUAGCAUGGCGGUAAAAUAAUUGUACCCCUUCGGCUGAAGUCCAGCGCCGCUUUCUGCCUCGCUGCCCCAAGCCUGCCAUCCUCUGUUAGCUCCUGCAAUAUUUUAUCCGCCAGCUCCGGCUCUGUUUCACCAGCAAUGGAGAGGACUAGAUUAAUUAGGAGAGAUCUCUCUCCCACAGCCAGCCCGGCUCUGCAGGGGGAAGGCUGGGAACUAUUUAAAGGGAUGAAGAUGUACUGCAGCAGCUGCCAUCUCUCUGGCUGGUAAUGUGCUCGCUCACCUAGCUGAAAAUUCAUCUCCUUUUGCCCUCUGCCAGUAAUUCCCAGCAAAUAAAAGCUGGUGAGCCCCAGGUUGAGCUCUGAGGCCAGCUGGGCUGGGCUGGGGGUUUGGGGAGAGCAGGUGUAAGGAAGGAAAUGGGAGAGACAUGUGUUGGGAUGAAGAUUGGAACAACUGCAAAACGUUCAGAACCUGAGCAUUGCUCUCGUUUAUGACAGCACUGCCCAUCUUGGGAACGGGGCUGCAGGAGCCCCAAAAUCCCAGGUGCCCCCACAGCCAGGAUGGACCCAGCACCGCUCCCCCAUUUCCCAGCUCAUUAAGGCCCAGCCUUGCCUUCGAGUGACACAGCUCGCUAACUCCGUCUCCCUCCCUCUGCAAACAAACAUUGGAUUUAAACCUGCUCAGAAUUCAGCGCAGACGGAAAGCAGCGGCGGCAGCAGCAAGCAGCAAGCAGCGCAGCCGCUCGCCUAGCGCAGCUCCAAGAUGAACCAUCCUGCCUGCUGGAUCGUCUUCACGGCCACCACUGCCCUGCUCUUCAUCCCAGGACAACCAGCCUGGAAUGCGUGUCCCGCUGGAUUGUGGCCCUGGCAGGACGUGCAGCGCUGGGAUGCUGCUGUUCUCUGCUGCUCCAGCUCAGGCAGCGCCGCCUGCCCUUGCGAGCGCUCGCUCCAUCCCCCGGGAACUCACUCCGGCUUCGCUGCGAUUAAUCUCAUCGGCCACUGGAUGUCAAUGUUGCCUCAUCCAAUUACAAGUGGGAAAGUUGUGGAUCUUCAGGAAGGGGGAGAAAAUGCUGCUGUCAGAAUAUUGCAGGAAAACUUGGAUGUGUGUCCUAUUCCUUUUCCAAAGGGAGCUUUGUGGAGGCACAAAGGCAGCCUGUGGCUACCUUGCAGUGUGGUGACAUGGUUGAAGAGUGUCACAGAAGCUGAGUGUGCUCACAUCUUUCCUGGGAAGACUGCCUUGCAUACCCUGCUUUGA
rnacentral:lncRNA from 1 species